AUUUUGUCACUGGCUCCCUAAAAACCCGAGCACAAGCGUAACUCACAUAAACCAAGGACAGUACCGGAAGCGCAAGGCACCUUAGAAAGUCGCCGGUGCAUUCCAUCCAUUACGGGUUGUAGGCGCCACCGUCUUAAUCUAUAGAAACAGCGUGGCGAGGGUUCAUUGGAAGGAUUGAUGGGGAAGGAGAGCGAAACUACGGACAUGGAAAUUGACGCUCCAAAAUCCAAUUCCUAUCAGAUCAAUCCCAGAUAUUCAGUCAACGUGUUGCAGCUGCUGAAGUCUGCGCAGAUGCAGCAUGGGUUGCGACAUGGAGAUUAUGCUCGUUAUCGGAGGUAUUGUACUGCUCGGCUCAGGAGGUUAUAUAAAUCAUUGAAGUUUACCCAUGGACGUGGAAAAUACACUCGUAGAGCUAUAACUGAAUCCACUGUUACUGAAGUAAGGUUUCUGCAUCUGGUUCUUUAUUCUGCUGAGAGAGCUUGGAGCCAUGCCAUGGAGAAACGACAGCUUCCAGAUGGUCCAAAUGGAAGACAACGCAUAUAUCUGAUUGGGAGACUGAGGAAAGCUGUAAAAUGGGCUGAUCAGUUCUCACGGCUGUGUGCUGCCAAGGGAGAUUCCAGAACAUCUUUGGAAGCUGAGGCAUAUGCUGCCUAUAUGAAUGGCAAUUUGUUGUUUGAACAAGAUCGGAACUGGGACACUGCAUUGAAGAACUUCAUAAGUGCCAGAGCUGUGUACGAGGAACUGGGAAAAUAUGGGGGCCUGGAAAAUCAGCUUUUAUGCCGUGAGCGUGUUGAGGAGCUGGAACCUAGUAUUCGAUACUGCCGGCACAAAAUUGGCGGGUCAAAUCUACAAACGUCUGACCUCCUACAAAUUGGUGAGAUGGAAGGUCCUGCAUUGGACCUCUUCAAAACUAAAUUGGAGGCUGUUAUGGCUGAGGCAAGGUCCCAACAGGCAGCUUCCCUGACAGAGUUUCAUUGGCUUGGUCACAAAUUUCCAAUAUCAAAUGCAAAAACUCGGGUUGCGAUUUUAAAAGCUCAAGAACUAGAGAAGGAUUUGCACGGUCCUACUACCGAUUCACUCCCAGCAGAGAAAAAAUUAGUCAUCUUUGACAAAAUUUUUACUGCCUAUCAUGAAGCUAGAAGCUCCAUUCGCAGUGACUUGGUCAGUGCAGGUAAUGCCGACAGUGUAAAAGAUGACUUAAGUGGCCUUGAUAAAGCAGUUAGUGCUGUACUAGGACAACGUACAAUUGAGCGUAACCAGUUGUUAGUUACCAUUGCAAAGAGUAAACUUACUAGGCGCUGUGAUGACAAAAAUGAGAAAGUUGCCAAGCCUGAGGAGCUUGUUCGCUUGUAUGAUCUUUUGUUGCAGAACACAUCUGAUCUUUCUGACUUAGUUAGUUCUGGAAGAGAUACAAAACAUGAGGAGAUUGCAUUCUCUGAAAACUGUUCAGUUAGAAAUUUGGCUUUCCGAGCUGAAAGGUGCUUCUACCUAGCAAAGUCAUACAGCUUAGCUGGGAAGAGAACAGAAGCAUAUGCAUUAUACUGCCGUGCUCGUUCCCUUGCUGAGAAUGCCUUACAGAAUUUUCAGCCUCUCAAUAACACUGAUGAGAUGAUGAUUACAGAGCUGAAGACAUUAUACGAUGGGUGCAGAUCUAAUAGUUGUAUAGAGCAUGCAUUAGGAAUUUUGGAGGAAGAAAAAGCUCCGGAGAACCUGUCGAAGAAAGUUUCUGCAAUAUCAUUAAGCGGGGGUGACAAGAAGGUGGAAAAAUCCCUUCUUGAGAAACUUGAUGCCUAUGAGUCUGCAGUUGGCGAUGCAAAUGUGAAGGCUCCUCCUCGCAUUGAAGUGUUCCCUCCAGCCUUCAAAACAAUACCUCGAAAUCCCAUCAUUCUUGACCUUGCCUAUAAUUAUAUUGAUUUCCCAUCACUAGAGAACAGGAUGAAGAAGGACAAGAAAGGCUUCAUAGGUAGGCUUUGGCGAUGAGUUUUAUAGGAGGCGGCAAUAACUUAAAAAACUAGGAAAAUAAAAAAGCAACAGGAAUUCUGAGAUGAGGGAGAAAUGGGGAGAACCAGAAGCUUUGGAGCUUUUCAGAUUAAUAUAAUUGGUUGGCUCUCGGCAUUUUUAUGUGAUAUGGCUGGAAUGCGUUCUACGAAAUUGUUGUAGUCUUGCAGUCUGCAGAGGGUUGGAGAAUUUGAGGAUUGGUGAGAAACAAGACGCAACAUUAGGCUUUUGCUUUGGAGAGCGCUAGAGUGAUGGCUAAAAGCGGCAAGGGAAAGGGGCGUAGGAAAAGAAGUGUUGUGUUUGAAGAUAUUUGUAUGUAUGGUUUCUAAUUGAGUUUGAAGAAUUAUACACUAACGCUAAGGAUCAAGGUUUCAGAUUUGGCUUGGUUUAAAACUCAAUUGAGAUCGAACUGAUAUAAUUUUAUUAUUUAUAUUAAAUUUUUUUAAUAUUAA